AUAUAACACAUUCUCCAAAACACAGGUAAAUCAUUUCACAAUUUUCGAAAAACGUCUUGCCGAUUUCUAACAUGUAAGACAUUUUCUAUUCUCUUCUCUUCACUCACAUCACAGUGGUUCUCCAUUCCUCUCUAUCCAUUAGCCUCCGCCUCUCCUUCUCAUCUCUGUUCGUUGGCCUCACCUCAUCAUCUCUGCCUUGUCUUCUCUCUUGGUCAACCGUGGUCCUUACCAAGUUUGUAUUUUGAAGAAACCCUAAAAAAUUAGCAGCCACAGUCCAGUUGUUACGUUCCCUUGCACGCAUCUUUUCCAAAACCAAUGAUAGCAAUGGUAAUCUCUUUUCUUCUAUUUCUAAAAUAAUUAGUGACAGUGGUUUUUUUUUGUUGGAUUACAUUAGUUUUCAUUAUUUCAAUUGCUGUCAUUCUUAUAAAUCAGGUUGCUGGUUAUGCUGUUGGAGGAGGGCAUGCUUUACAUAUGGUUUGUGAUCUGACCAUUGCUGCGGAUAAUGCUAUUUUCGGUUAAACUGGUCCCAAGGUGGGAAGUUUUGAUGCUGGUUAUGGAAGUUCCAUAAUGUCCCGUUUGGUAAACAACAAGAAAGAUGGAGGCUUUUAUUUGGCAUGAUACUCGUUGUUCGUUUUACAUGCAAUCUGAACAGUGUGUUUGAUCUGGAUUCGAUUAACAGGUUGGACCUAAAAAGGCGCACCAAAUGUGGUUUCUUGCCAGGUUUUACACUGCCUCUAAGGUAGAAAAAAUGAGGCUUGUGAAUGCUGUUGUACCGGUAAGUUGUUCUUGUAUGAAGAGUGCCACUCAUUCAGCCUAUUCCCUCAAAUAGAUAUGUCGAAACCAUUUUUUGAAAACAAAAAUUUAUUGUCGACUUUUAAAAAACGAAAAUUGGAGUCA